rnacentral:rRNA from 1 species
CACGCCCUAAACGAUGUAUACUCGUUGUUUGCAUCUUGAAUGUGAGCAACCAAGCGAAAGCGUUAAGUAUACCACCUGGGGAGUACGCCCGCAAGGGUGAAACUCAAAGGAAUUGACGGG